UGGGGAAUAUUGGACAAUGGGGGCAACCCUGAUCCAGCAAUGCCGCGUGUGUGAAGAAGGUCUUCGGAUUGUAAAGCACUUUCGACGGGGACGAUGAUGACGGUACCCGUAGAAGAAGCCCCGGCUAACUUCGUGCCAGCAGCCGCGGUAAUACGAAGGGGGCUAGCGUUGCUCGGAAUGACUGGGUGUAAAGGGCAUGUAGGCGGUUUACACAGUCAGAUGUGAAAUCCCCGGGCUUAACCUGGGAGCUGCAUUUGAUACGUGUAGACUAGAGUGUGAGAGAGGGUUGUGGAAUUCCCAGUGUAGAGGUGAAAUUCGUAGAUAUUGGGAAGAACACCGGUGGCGAAGGCGGCAACCUGGCUCAUGACUGACGCUGAGGCGCGAAAAGCGUGGGGAGCAAACAGGAUUAGAUACCCUGGUAGUCCACGCUGUAAACGAUGUGUGCUAGAUGUUGGGUAACUUUGUUAUUCAGUGUCGCAGUUAACGCGGUUUAAAGCACACCG
rnacentral:rRNA from 1 species